GAUCAUGGCUCAGGACGAACGCUGGCGGCGCGCCUAACGCAUGCAAGUCGAACGAAGAUUACAGGCGGAAGUUUUCGGAUGGAAGCUUGUAAACUUAGUGGCGGACGGGUGAGUAACACGUGAGCAACCUGCCUAUCAGAGGGGGGAUAACGAUUGGAAACGAUCGCUAAUACCGCAUGACAUAGCGGAACCGCAUGGUUCUGUUAUCAAAGAUUUUAUCGCUGAUAGAUGGGCUCGCG
rnacentral:rRNA from 1 species